UACAGGGGGGGGCAAGCGUUGUUCGGAAUUACUGGGCGUAAAGGGUUCGUAGGUGGCCACUUAAGUCAGACGUGAAAUCCCUCAGCUUAACUGGGGAACUGCGUCUGAUACUGAGUGGCUUGAGUGCAGGAGAGGGAUGCGGAAUUCCAGGUGUAGCGGUGAAAUGCGUAGAUAUCUGGAGGAACACCGGUGGCGAAGGCGACUACCUGGCCUGUUCUUGACGCUGAGGCGCGAAAGCUAGGGGAGCAAACGGGG
rnacentral:rRNA from 1 species